AUUAUUUAAAGAGUGCAAAGUAAAAUGCUUGACAGUUUUGACUAAGAAUGAUGCGAUAAAGUAAAUUGUAGAAAAAUUCGUUAAACCAAUUUCUCUUUGACGAAGAAACCUGGAAAAGUUAGAAAUAAAUAAGGAAGAAUUGAUACAUACGUUGUAAGUGGGAAAGCUGCCAUAUGCAAGUAACCAGGAGAACGACAAUUUGAACAAUAGUCCAGCGGACGACACGAGAAUUUGCGCUCUCACUAGUAUCGCGAAAAGUCAUUUCACGAGAACGUUGCAACAUUUGCUCACCAAGGAUGGAUUCUAAGCGUGUAUUCAA